GGAUGUGAGGGCGAUCUGGCUCCGACAUCUGUCACCCCUUUGAUCGCCAGGGUUGAUUCGGCUGAUCUGGCUGGCUAGGCGGGUGUCCCCUUCCUCCCUCAAUGCUCCACGUGCGUCCCUCCCGAAGCUGCAUGCUCGGUCGUAGAGGACGAGAACCCCCGAUAGAGGAGGACCGUUCCUUGGUCAAGGGUAUACGAGUAUCGGCGCUCCCCUGCUGGAACCUCCAAACAAACUCUCAAGAAAUAAUACUGAGAAUCAACAAAUAGGAUCAUAUUAAAUUAAAAAAGCUUCUGCACACCAAAGAAAAUAAUU
rnacentral:snRNA from 1 species